GACUAAUCUGCCCUCGGGACAGAAACAACCCCGGGAAACUGGGGCUAAUUUCUGAUAGAUGAAGAAGCCUGGAAUGACUCUUCGUCCAAAAGGUAUUGAGGUCACGCCCCUCAAUUUCGCCCGAGGAUGAGGCCGCACCCGAUCAGGUUGUUGGUGAGGUAAAGGCUCACCAAGCCUAUAACCGGUACGGGCCGUGAGAGCGGGAGCCCGGAGAUGGGCACUGAGAUAAGGGCCCAGGCCCUACGGGGCGCAGCAGGCGCGAAAACUCCGCAAUGCGCGAAAGCGUGACGGGGUCAUCCCGAGUGCCAUCCGCUGAGGGUGGCUUUUGCCUGGUGUAAUGAGCCGAGUGAAUAAGGGGAGGGCAAGUCUGGUGCCAG
rnacentral:rRNA from 1 species